GUAAUUAUUAUGUUGUUACUGACGCUGACUGCUAUUGCAAAAGGUUUAUGGGUUGUCCUUAAUGGCGGGCGAGCCCACCAAGGAAACAAGAAGUACGCAAAAGACACGGGUGAAUAAUUCAGCAAGGCCGGCCCAACUGCGCACGCCGCGAAGCAGCGCAUAGCUGGGGGUGUCCAGCCCGCCUUCUUAUUGUGUAAUGAUCCCUCCGCAGGUUCACCUACGGAGA
rnacentral:misc_RNA from 1 species